rnacentral:tRNA from 1 species
UAGCUCAGUCAGUUCGAGCAUGGUUCUGAUAACACCAAGGUCAUGGGUUCGAUCCCCAU